rnacentral:piRNA from 1 species
UCCAAAAUCACUGCCUCUGAAGUGAGAAUC